GUGAAUCAUCAAAUCUUUGAACGCAUAUUGCACUCCCUGGUAUUCCGUGGAGUAUGCCUGUUUGAGGGUCAUUUGUAAUAAUAUAAAUUCCAAGAUGUUUCGUGUUUGAAAAGGCUUUGUCCAUUGUUUGGGGUCACCUAAAAUCCAAGACAAGCUCAUGAUCUUGGGUUGCGGGAUACUUUCAGUUAUGUCGUGACAUAACCAGCAAUCAACGAGCGCGUUUUUAAAUUU
rnacentral:misc_RNA from 1 species